CCCUUAGAUGUUCUGGGCCGCACGCGCGCUGCACUGACGAAUGCAACGAGCUUAUAACCUUGGCCGAAAGGUCUGGGUAAUCUCCAAAUUUCGUCGUGAUGGGGAUAGAUUAUUGCAAUUAUUAAUCUUCAACGAGGAAUGCCUAGUAAGCGCAAGUCAUCAGCUUGCGUUGAUUACGUCCCUGCCCUUUGUACACACCGCCCGUCGCUCCUACCGAUUGAAUGGUCCGGUGAAGCGCUCGGACCGCGGCCUCUUGACGGUUCGCUGUCGAUUGGCUGUGGGAAGUUCGUUAAACCUUAUCAUUUAGAGGAAGGAGAAGUCGUAACA
rnacentral:rRNA from 1 species